rnacentral:rRNA from 1 species
AUUGAACGCUGGCGGCAUGCCUUACACAUGCAAGUCGAACGGUAACGGGCCUUCGGGUGCCGACGAGUGGCGAACGGGUGAGUAAUGCAUCGGAACGUACCUUUCAGUGGGGGAUAACGUAGCGAAAGUUACGCUAAUACCGCAUAUUCUGUGAGCAGGAAAGCAGGGGAUCGCAAGACCUUGCGCUGAUUGAGCGGCCGAUGUCAGAUUAGCAAGUUGGUGAGGUAGAGGCUGACCAAGGCGACGAUCUGUAGCGGGUCUGAGAGGAUGAUCCGCCACACUGGGACUGAGACACGGCCCAGACUCCUACGGGAGGCAGCAGUGGGGAAUCUUGGACAAUGGGGGCAACCCUGAUCCAGCCAUGCCGCGUGAGUGAAGAAGGCCUUCGGGUUGUAAAGCUCUUUCGGCCGGGAAGAAAUCGCACAGGCUAAUACCUUGUGUGGAUGACGGUACCGGAAUAAGAAGCACCGGCUAACUACGUGCCAGCCGCCGCCGUAAGAC